rnacentral:rRNA from 1 species
AUCCGGUUUUUCGUAGGUGACCUGCGGAGGAUCAUUACCGAGUGAGGGCCCUCUGGGUCCAACCUCCCACCCGUGUUUAUCGUACCUUGUUGCUUCGGCGGGCCCGCCGCAAGGCCGCCGGGGGGCUUCCGUCCCCGGGUCCGCGCCCGCCGAAGACACCUGGGAACGCUGUCUGAAGAUUGCGGUCUGAGCGAAAAGCUAAAAUGUAUUAAAACUUUCAACAAGGGAUCUCUUGGUGCCGGCAUCGAUGAGGAACGCACCGAAAUGCAAUGAGUAAGGUGAAUUGCAGAAUUCAGUGAAUCAUCGAGUCUUUGAACGCACAUUGUGCCCCCUGGUAUUCCGGGGGGCAUGCCUGUCCGAGCGUCCUGCUGCCCUCAAGCACGGCUUGUGUGUUGGGCCUCUCGUCCCUCCCGGGACGGGCCCGAAAGGGAGCGGCGGCACCGUGUCCGGUCCUCAAGCGAAUGGGACUUCCUCACCCGCUCCGUAGGCAGGGUCGUCGCCUGCCAUCACAAUCAUUCUUGAUAUGACCCCUGAAUCUGGUAUCUCGAAGGGAAGGGGGGA